rnacentral:lncRNA from 1 species
CAGGGGUCUACAAGGUUGAAGAAGGCCACUCAGUCCAGUUUUCAAUGUACCUGGUCAAAUUUACCAAAACAACUCCAGAUUUUCCAAUUCGAAGUUUACUAUGGCAGUCCUGACUCCUUCAGUCAUAUCUCAGAAUAUACAACUCCAAUUCAAGUGAUUCCAAAGCCAUUUGAAUGCUAAGAUACAAGGCUAUAAGUCUUAAUAAGACAUCAACAGCCAAAUCAGUAGUAUUCCUGGUC